UUUAUUAUCUUUAUUUUGUUUAUAAACUGGAUGUAAUGCCAGAUUUCCAGAUCAAUAAAACAGAACAUAACCGAAAAGAACCGAAGAAAGGUGGGUUUGGCAGUUGAACGAUUUCUGUAGCAUCCCCUACUGGUUCAGGAGUGCAUGGGAACUGCUCUAUAAAGGACACUCAACUCAAGGCAUGUAAGCAAACCAUAAAGCAAGGCAGAAACAAGCGUUGGAAAAAUAUACGGUUCAUCAAUAACGCUUUGAAAAAUAUAUAAGGUCUACUUACUUUUAGACGCCUACCAUAGAUGAACGCAAAAAAAUAAGCCAAUGUAAGAUACUAAGUAUAGUAAAUUUAUACACCAUAGGCUUGUUGGUACAUUCUUCCACGGCUUUGUGUGGUUUAGUCUCAAAAUGGGCCAUGUAUUUGGUAAUAAGCCAAAUUAAAUAGACUGGAUCACUAUUGGCUAAAUGAAGCUCACCAUCAGCAAGUGUGCCAUCAUGACCCGAUCAUGGAGACCAGUUUCAAUGAAGGCGGACACUGUCACUCCAUGAAUUCCUACAGCCAACUAUGAAACCCAUCUUAUCAAAAAGAUGUAGUCCCAAGUGUCAGGGUUAGCUUAUGUGUAACUGCACUAAAUCCAUCUGGGUACGUGGCAUACUAAAGCUGCAAUCGAUUUUGAAUUCACUUACAAAUAGCAACCAUUAAAAAAAAGGCAAUAAAACAUUUACCAAAAUAAAAAAAUAAAAAAUUUGAAGCAGAGCCGCCUCCACUCCCCUGGAGCAAAGGGAAAUGGAGCCCAAACGCAGAAGAUUGAAACAGAAUUCAUGAAGCUCAGACAUCGUACCAUUUAGUUUGGUACCCGACAGGUACGCAUCAAGUUAGGUUGGCCAACACUAAACUCCAAUAUUGUCUGCGCAGACACAGUACCGUCAUAAAAUUCAAGUUUAAAAAAAAAAAAAAAAAAAAAAAAGUCGCAAAGAUUUUCACAAAGCAUGACAAUAUUAUCGUACCUGAAAUCAAAGCUUUCACCAAGCAAUUACAAGUCGUUCAUACCAGAAAAUAAGAAAGUCUUCUGUUCUGUUGGGCUUGUAGUUCAGAAUCAAGUGAAAAAACAAACGUCACAUAAAAGAUUUUCAAGCAGAAUUGAGCUGGAGUCGGACAUCUAGCCUAGAAAUGCCAAGUACCUCUGAUGUAUCAUCCACAAUACAAAGAACUCAUACGUUCCUGAGGCCACAAGACAACAGGUAGUACUUAAUUAUAAAUAGGAGGGAAAAAACUGUACUGACAACCGGGAAGAGUCAUCAUAUCUGGUGCUAACAGAGUCCGAACCUGGGAACCUUGUGUAGUCACACAAAUACGGCUCAAGUAAUACACGAAAGACAAGUCUCAGGGUGUCCAAAAAGAUGAUCCUUCCAGUCAUUAGCACCAGAAAACUGAACUGAACCAAUGUUCUUUUCUUGUGCUGCCUCUACGACGUAUUGGCAGUUCUGACAUCUGCAUAAAAGUACUAUCUAUAGAGGCGUUUCAAUGACAGCAUCGCAAGAACGUAUAAAGUACAACAGGAUGCUACCUCUCAGUUUCCUAUGAACGGAAAGGCAAAAAACGCAAAAGGCACCAAAGAAAGGGGGUAGGGG